CAGCUCGGCUCCGCCUACCCCGCCCCAGCGCUUUGGGAUCUUACGCUUCCUCUCGCGAGGUUUGCCUGCGCUGCACCACAACCUGAGGACCACCCCUGGGUUCUGUCACAGCUCUCUCCCUGGUCCAUGCUGCUCCAAGACCUGCGCACCUCUCUCUCCGUGCGCCCCAGGUUUGCCGGCACCGCCCCCUACUCCACGACCGCCCAUGCUGCCCCCGUUCACCGCGCCGGAGACACGCCAGGUCAGGACGUUUGCGGAGAGGCCGGAACCUCCAGAGUCUGGGAACCCGGCCGCCCGAGGUGGGCCGUGGCCCAGCACCUCCAACCAGCGCCCACUGGUGCGGUCACCUGGUAGCGGAGGCCGGGGUAGCUGAACGUCGAGCGUGCCGGCACUCCUCUGCAGCCCGGACUUGGGAGGGUUUGGGGCGGACUAGGGAUCGAAGGCCUCUGCUUUUAGCGGGUCGGAGGUCAGCGGGAAAUUCCGAACUGCGAGAUGUUUUGGACUCAGCAGGGCUGAAUCUGAUUCCCACGGAGAAGAGCGGGCGGGCCCUUUGGCUCAACAUUGCUGAGAUUUGCAUACGCCUAUUUAAUAAACUUUACAAACUACUUUUGUCCAGAGAUAUCUGAAAAUUUCAACAGAAUAGCAGUUGUAUUUAAGGAAAAAAAAAAAUCAAGAGAUUGACCGGAAUCACAAGUAGGUACACGGCUUUCCUACAUGGAAUGGAAAACAAUAAAUGCACCGGAGUUGAGAGCUGAUGCAUAAGGUUCAUUUCGGCUGUCCUUAGGAGCUCAGUUGUGAUCGUUGACUACUGUCUGGAUGGUGGUUCAGGCUGGAGUUGAGUAACUGACAGCUCAGACCCGCGACAUUCACAAAACAGGACUUAAGGUUCUCAAAUGUUAUUUUUACUGAACUUUUGGGUGUCUCAAUGGGACAGCAACCAAGCAAGGUUCACAUUUGUUUACUUUUCGUUAACGAACAUACAGGCAGUAACAGUUUUGAUUAGAACAAUUUAUAUAUCGAAGUUCUUCAUUGUUAUAUGCCACGUUUUAAAACAUUUUCUCAUAUUUUUCUUUAUGCAUGUUGGCUGUACUUUUCAUUAAUAGCACCUUUCCCCAACAAUGUCGAGUACGAAUAAGAAAGGGAGCUAGAGAAUGGAGUGACUGAGGCUGUCAGGAGAUGAUGACAGUUACUGGAUGUACAUCUAGGUUUACCUCAAUCCAGUACUUCAUCCCCGAGCCGCUAAAUACCUGUGAACACAGUGGAAAUGUGACGUUAAUGGACCAAAAGAUUCAAAAAGAAGCCCCCAAACUGAGUCCUCUAAACCCCCACAAAGGGGCCAGGGGCUGUUUUCAGUCUAUUAUAAAAGCUAAAGAAAUCCUGCUAGAAACACAGGGAUGGUAAAGUUGCACUUACUAGAUCUACAGUUUCCUUUGUUGUCUCAGAAUUAACUCAAAGUUAUGCUGAUCAGAGCUCUGAUGGUCUCAGCUGUGGUAAAAAGAGGGACAAUGUGGUUGGCAGAUAAAAUCUCUUCAUGUACAAUGGGAGUGGGAGGCAGGGCAGAGUGGGCUAAUGGUGAAAAAUGAGGAAACCAUUCAUUUGAAAAGUUCGGAUGUCUCAGUAGUCUUUAACAGUAUAUAUUUGGACUACCUUAAAACAUAGCUUCUCAAUCUAUUUGCAGGUCUUCCUUCUCUACUAAAAUAUUCAGGUUAAACAAUCAUCUGACUUAAUUUGAAUAUUAGCUCUUCAGUGAUUUUUUCUAGAUAAGUGUAAUAAAAAGGAUUCUAAAUCUCA